GCUUUACAAUAUGGCUUUUAAAUGCUUUCUUUUUUAUAAAGACAAUGCCAGGUCGCUGUCUGUACUUUUAUUUCGAUUUUACCAUAGUGCAUUUUCUUUCAGUACAUUGAUUGUCAAUUUUUACUUUUAGCAUGAUUAGGUUAAAUCAUUAGUACCAUAAUAAACAAUCAUCGCUUGGACACUUAAUGGACAAGAAUCUUAAGCCUCAUAAUUUGUACAAAAAGCAUCCUCGGUCACUAUAGUCAACAAAUGAUCAAGUUUAGGUACCGAAGAGCAUUAAUUAGACUAUUAGUAUAAUUAAGUCCAUGAUCCUUAAACCACAUGUUUCGUAAAAAGUGAAGUAUACUUCUAUGGCUCACCUAAUUUGUAGCUAACUCGAAUAGAUUAGUUGCGACUCCUCAUUUAAAAACCCUCAUAGUGUCAAUUGAUGUUAAAAUCAAAUAUCUUAAAGUCACGUGAGAUAUGGGUUUGGGAAAGUUUGCACCUAAUUGAAGGCCCGUCUCUUAAGCAAUACUCUUGAACUUAUUGUCUUUUCCCCUUUGAAAGAAAAAAGUAGGUCGCAACAAAUUGCCAUAGCUCGAACAGAAUUUAUUGAUGCUUUAAAUUGUGU
rnacentral:lncRNA from 1 species